GGCGCUGAAUGCAAAGCGACGAGCGCGCAGUUUUUCAAGCUGCUGUUAGUGGGUUCGAGUUCCACCGGCGCCGCCA
rnacentral:tRNA from 1 species